CCUACGGGAGGCAGCAGUAAGGAAUAUUGGACAAUGCUCGCAAGAGUGAUCCAGCCAUGCCGCGUGCAGGAAGAAUGCCCUAUGGGUAGUAAACUGCUUUUGAACUAGAGAAAACCCCAGUACGUGUACUGGGCUGAUAGUAUAGUUAGAAUAAGCAUCGGCUAACUUCGUGCCAGCAGCCGCGGUAAGACGAAGGAUGCAAGCGUUAUCCGGAUUCAUUGGGUUUAAAGGGAGCGUAGGUGGACUGAUAAGUCAGUGGUGAAAUCUCCGAGCUUAACUCGGAAAUUGCCAUUGAUACUGUUGGUCUUGAGUACAGUUGCUGUGGGCGGAAUAUGACAUGUAGUGGUGAAAUACAUAGAGAUGUCAUAGAACACCGAUUGCGAAGGCAGCUCACAAAGCUGUAACUGACACUGAGGCUCGAAAGUGCGGGGAUCAAACAGGAUUAGAUACCCUGGUAGUCCGCACCGUAAACGAUGAUUACUCGCUGCUAGGGGGCAACCUUUAGUGGCUUAGCGAAAGCGAUAAGUAAUCCACCUGGGGAGUACGCCGGCAACGGUGAAACUCAAAGGAAUUGACGGCUUGAGGACNGCGAGGACGACACGAGGGAGGAGG
rnacentral:rRNA from 1 species